CGGCGUGCUUAACANAUGCAAGUCGAACGAGAACGGAUUAUAGCUUGCUAUAAUUGUCAGCUAAGUGGCGCACGGGUGAGUAAUGUAUAGAUAACCUGCCCUCAAGAAAGGAAUAACAGUUGGAAACGACUGCUAAUGCCCUAUAUGUCCUUUAAUACAUAAGUAUGCAAGGGAAACGCUUUAGUGCUUGAGGAUGGGACUGUAUGGUAUCAGUUAGUUGGUGAGGUAAUGGCUCACCAAGACUAUGACGCCUAACUGGUUUGAGAGGAUGAUCAGUCGCACUGGAACUGAGACACGGUCCAGACUCCUACGGGAGGCAGCAGUGGGGAAUAUUGCACAAUGGACGAAAGUCUGAUGCAGCAACGCCGCGUGGAGGAUGACACAUUUCGGUGCGUAAACUCCUUUUAUAUAGGAAGAUAAUGACGGUACUAUAUGAGUAAGCACCGGCUAACUCCGUG
rnacentral:rRNA from 1 species